GAACAUGAAGUGAAUAUCAGGAUGAUGUCGCUUCUGACACAGGAGAUACCGGGACGGUAUGACAGGGAAAGGCUUCAGGAUGAAGUAGAGAGGAUAACGCCGGAGCGCGUUAAAGGACACCUCCAGGAAGGAGAAUGUGAACCGGGCAGGAUAUCCGGUGGAUCAGGAUGAUUAGGAAGUCGCUUAAUGGAUUAAGCGUGUCGUAUCGGGCGAUGCGAGCAGGCAGCAUGGUUUAUGGAUGAACAGGUCAGGAGACCGCAGGAAAAGUUUUCAUGGAUGAGCAGGGAGCAUCAAGGUAGCCGGACUGCUGCUAAACGAACCGGGAGCACUGUUUAAUUACAGUGCUCCCUUUUUUAUU
rnacentral:other from 1 species